UACAGAGGGUGCGAGCGUUAAUCGGAAUUACUGGGCGUAAAGCGCACGUAGGCGGCUUGGUAUGUCGGGUGUGAAAUCCCCGGGCUCAACCUGGGAACUGCAUCCGAAACUGCCUUGCUAGAGUAUGGGAGAGGGAAGUGGAAUUUCCGGUGUAGCGGUGAAAUGCGUAGAUAUCUGCAGGAACACCCGUGGCGAAAGCGGCGCGCUGGACCACUACUGACGCUGAGGAACGAAAGCUAGGGGAGCAAACAGG
rnacentral:rRNA from 1 species